UUUCGGGUUAAUGAAAAACUUGAGGAAUGUUUAUUUUGAGGGGACGGCAUGUCCCUUAUAAAGCAAAAAUUAUAUCAUGUGCAUUGUCAGAGAUAACAUGGAAUAAUACAUCAAUAAUUGGUUAGGUGUUAAGUGGUUCAUUUAGUGCUCUUCCUACCGGGUGUGAUGUCACUGGUAUCUUGGAGGUAUCCCCCAGAUUCCAGCGCCAUCUUGUUAAUGAGGGUGUUAGUCGAUGUCAAAGGGAAACUCCCUAGCGGUCUUUUUAGGUAAAUCACAUUUAUGGUUGACUAAUGCUGAUUGUGCUUAUUCUGAGUAAAUAGGCAUUUUAUUAAAAUGAAUUGGGUUAAUUUUUGUCCACAACAAUAUCCAACAGUAAGAGGUAUAGAAAGACAUAAAAAAAAAAAAAUCUUAGAAAUAUAAAAAUAUUAAUGACAAAUUAAAAUAAUAAGCAGUGUGUGGGGCUUGCACAUACAGCAGCUACAUGAUUCUAAAUAUUCUAAAUAAAAAAAAAAAAUAUAUAUAUAUACACACACCUGAUACAUUAUUUACAUAAACUAUUUUUAAACUCUAUAAGAUCAUAUUAAAAUAGCUACUUCACACUAUUUCACAUUUGUAGACCUACUAUAAUAUGGUAUAUUUCAUAAUAUAAAAAGUUAACACUAUUAUAGUAAUAAAUACGGAAAAAUAUAGCCCUAAAUAUAUAAUAAAAAAAGGAGAUCUUUAAGAAAUGGCACAAUUCUAAAUCACUGUUAAGCCCAAAUGGCUGUAAAGUAUUCAAAUCCCGUAAUUUCAGUUCGUUCCAUGUUUUUAAUGAUAUCUUCAACCCUCGAAUUAAUGUUAACUUCUCAAAUUCCUAUAAAGUCAAAGCUUUUAAAAAUGAGAUAUACAAAUAUAUUCGGGGCCAAUACAAACCAUUGUGUGGAAAUCUAUUCACAAACCGGACUUUACAUAGGAUACAAGGUCAUGCGUUUAGACUGGAAGAAAGAAGAUUUCGUCUAAGGCAAAGGAAAGGUUUUUUUUUUUUACUGUAAGAACAAUCAGGAUGUGGAAUUCUCUGCCUGAAGAAGUGGUUUUAUCAGAGUCCAUACAGAUGUUCAAACAGCUACCAGAUGUAUACUUGCAAAAACGGAAUAUUCAAGGAUAUAAUCUUUCAAUGUAGGGUAAUAACUGCUUGAUCCAAGGAUAAAUCUGACUGCCAUUCUGGGGUCAAGAAGGAUUUUUUCCCCCUAGCUUAUUGGAAGUGCUUCAAACGUUUUUUUUUUUGCCUUCUUUUGGAUCAACAGCAAAAAAUAAAUGUGAAGAAAGGCUGAAUUUGAUAGUCGCAAGUCUCUUUUCAGCUAUGUAACUUUUUUCAUAAAACCAUUUUAUCACAUUCCCAAUAUGUUCUUCUAUGCACACCUGGAGUGCGACCAACAUAAAAGAGUCCACAUAAAUACAUGAAUACAUUUUUACUAUAGCAGGUGAUUGUAUCCUUUAUAUAAUUUUUUUAUUUUUAUUUUGAAGAUGGAUGAAACGCUUUAGAUUUCUUUUCUUACUAUGCAUAUUUUUGCAAGCCAUACAGAUUCCACAACCAUAGAAUUCCUUUGAUUCAUUCAAAAAGUGUAAUGUAGAUUAUUAAGUGUUUUUGCAUAGCAAGACCACUUAAUGUUAUCUCACAUAUAUAUUAUUAUUCUUAUUAUAGCCAAAUUUACCACCCUAACACCUCCCACAGUUUUUACACUACAUAGACAGUAAUAUACCGAAACGUGCGGAUUGUUCCCGAUCGGAUUGUUAUUACUUUGUGGAACGUUUCGCCGAAUUGUUCACGGAAUAUCAUCGUUCUUGUGGCGAAAUUGGUCCCAUAGGAAUGAAUGGCAAAAUGUUCAAAACUAGAGUGGGAGUUGGCAAAAGCUGAAAAAUCAGGACAUCACAGUGCAGGUGGAAAAAGUAUGUGAACCCUUGGAUUUAAUAACUGGUUGAACCUCCUUUGGCAGCAAUAACUUCAACCAAACGUUUCCUGUAGUUGCAGAUCAGACGUGCACAACGGUCAGGAGUAAUUCUUGACCAUUCCUCUUUACAGAACGGUUUCAGUUCAGCAAUAUUCUUGGGAUGUCUGGUGUGAAUCGCUUUCUUGAGGUCAUGCUACAGCAUCUCAAUCGGGUUGAGGCUUUUUUUGCCACACAUAAUGUUGUGUGUUUCUUCCAAACAACUCAACUUUGGUUUCAUCUGUCCACAGAAUAUUUUGCCAGUACUGCUGUGGAACAUCCAGGUGCUCUUGUGUAAACUGUAAACGUGCAGCAAUGUUUUGUUUAGACAGCAGUGGCUUCCUCCUUGGUAUCCUCCUAUGAAAUCCAUUCUUGUUUAGUGUUUUACGUAUUGUAGAUUCGCUAACAGGGAUGUUAGGAUUUGCCAGUGACUUUUGUAAGUCUUUAGCUUGCACUCUAGGAUUCUUCUUCACCUCACUGAGCAGUCUGCGCUGUGCACUUGCGGUUAUCUUUACAGGACUGCCACUCCUAGGGAGUAGUAGUGCUGAACUUUCUCCAUUUAUAGACAAUUUUGUCUUACCGUGGACUGAUGAACAGCAAGACUUUUGGAGAUACUUUUAUAACCCUAUUCCAGCUUUAUGCAAGUCAACAAUUCUUAAUCGUGGGUCUUCUGAGAGCUCUUUUGUGCGAGGCAUCAUUCACAUCAGGCAAUGCUUCUUGUGAAAAGCAAACUCAGAACUGGUGUGUGUUUUUUAUAGGGCAGGGCAGUUGUAACCAACACCUCCAAUCUCAUCUUAUUGAUUGGACUCCAGUUGGCUGUCAUCUCACUCCAAUUAGCUCUUGAAGAUGUCAUUAGUCUAGGGGUUCACAUACUUUUUCCACCUGCACUGUGAAUGUUUACAUGGUGUGUUCAAUAAAAACAUGGCAACAUUUCAUUCUUUGUGUGUUAUUAGUUUACGCAAACUGUGAUUGUCUAUUGUUGUGACUUAUAUGAUGAUCAGAUCACAUUUUAUGACCAAUUUGUGUAGAAAUCCAUAUCAUUCCAAAGGGUUCACAUACUUUUUCUUGCAACUGUAUCAAUAUGUUCAGCUAUCCCUGCUGCCACUAAAAAUGUCCACGGCUAAGCCAUAGUCCUGAUAGUUUUCACAAUAUGACCAUUUGUUUGCAACUCACGCCAUCCAUUAACAUGCAUUGAAACUCCACUCUAGCCAGCACAAACGUGAAGGGCAAUUUCUAAACUGCGACUGUGCCUUCAUUUUUAAUACCUCAGAGACAUACUAUGCAUCAAAAUGUAGGUCUGAGUCUUGUGAUUCUCUUCGCUGUAGGAUGUAUAGUUUUUAGAAUAUGACCGUUUGAAGAUGGCAACUUCCAAAAUACUCUGACCUGUGCCAGGCUGGAGCAGCAAGUGAUGUCAUAGACAGGGCCUUUUGUACACCUGCUAAAUGUUUUUAUAAAUGUAUGUUUUAAUGUAACUGUGAAGCACUUUGAGCAACAACGUUGC